AUUGAACGCUGGCGGCAGGCCUAACACAUGCAAGUCGAGCGAGCGGCGGACGGGUGAGUAAUGUAUGGGGAACUGCCCGAUAGAGGGGGAUAACUACUGGAAACGGUGGCUAAUACCGCAUACCAUCGGAUGUGCCCAUAUGGGAUUAGCUUGUAGGAGGGGUAAAGGCUCACCUAGGCGACGAUACCUAGCUGGUCUGAGAGGAUGACCAGCCACACUGGGACUGAGACACGGCCCAGACUCCUACGGGAGGCAGCAGUGGGGAAUAUUGCACAAUGGGGGCAAGCCUGAUGCAGCCAUGCCGCGUGUGUGAAGAAGGCCUUCGGGUUGUAAAGUACUUUCAGCGGGGAGGCGUUACCCGCAGAAGAAGCACCGGCUAACUCCGUGCCAGCAGCCGCGGUAAUUC
rnacentral:rRNA from 1 species